ACACAACUGCCAAACAAGCCAUUACUUAACAAACUUUAAUUUUGUUUUUCAAAAGCCCUUACUUAAAAUGAGUUCCAAGGACACCAACAUUCAGAAGGCCCUUUGUCCUACAAAACCCCCACCUAAGAGCACUGGCUCAACUUCUUCAAGCUCCGGUGGUAAAAAGCCACCAUCUACGAAGGAUAUAUUUUAUCCCAAAAAUAGAUGAUUUCUCAAAAGGUUUACGUAGAUGCGCUCAAUAAUAUAUAUUUGAAGCAUUGAUUCUAAAAAGAACGAAAGCAUGGUACUAGUUACUAGUUAGGUUACCAUAGUCUCUUUUCGUUAUUUAGGGUUUCCAUGUGUCUGCUUCUAAUAAUGGAGAUUAGAAUUGCACAGUUCGUAAUCCCUAUUAAUUACAUAGCAAAUACUUUGUGAGCUACUACCAUUUAUUUUGGUUUGUGUGCUUUGUACUCAUCAAAAUUAAAGUUGAGCAAUAAUGGUAUACAGAACUAGCUAGGAAUUAACAAAGUUAAUGAUUUAAUUUUGUGUUUCU